rnacentral:tRNA from 1 species
UCGUCAAUGCUCAGUGGCACAGCGUCUUACUGUGAAAGUAGAGGUUGUGGGUUCGAUUCCCGUUCGGGGAA